AUGCUCUCGGCGCUCCCCCUCUCCGGCUCUUUCUCUGCUAAUUCGCCUCGGGGCGACGCGCCCCGCGGGAGGAUCGCGGGCUGGGAGGGGCCGGCCGGGCGGCGGGACCGAGCGGGGGAGCCGGAGUCAGUGCCGGCGCGGCGGCCGAGCGGAGCCGGGCAGCGGGAGCCGCCCGAGCGGCAGCGGCGGCGGCGGCGGCGGCGGCGGCAGCAUCCCCCGCGCGCGGCGCCCGCACUCGGAGUUGCUGCUGCUGGCAGGCAUGAGUGUUAUUAUAGUGAGCGGCGUUGCCGGUCCAUUGCACUGAGCCAAUGGCAGGGAGCCACUGGGCUGAUACUGAGAGCUGUCAGAGGAGUACAUCUGUCACCCGCUGCCUCCCCCCCGCCCUCCCCCCGCCGCCGCCGCCGCCGCCGGGACCCACGGCCGCGCGGGUCCGGGCGCGAGUGGGAGCGCCCAGCGAGCGGGGCGCCCCCCGCGCGGCGCCGCGGCCGCCGAGGGCCAGGGACGCGACGGCCACCGCGGGCGGGCGGCAGAGCGACCCGCGACUGACAAGUGGGAGACUCCUCUAAGGUCAAGAUUUCAAGGCAUUCCAUUCUGGGUAUCCCACAGAUAGCAUUUUAUACAGCAAUGAUUCUGCAAACUACAAUAUGGUCCUUAAAUGAAUCUGCCAGUUUGAUAUCACUCUUUGAAAGAGGAAGAGAAGGGAGAGAAAAAGAGUGUUUAUAAUGAGAGAGGCAAUAAUCAUAUAAGACCAAAUGAUAUCAUGACAUCUGCACGAAUGAAGGUGUGGCAUAGUUAAACUGGAGAAAAGUGACGAAGGAAUUAUAGCACCAUAGAGCACCCAUAUUCACCAUAAUCAUCAGGCAUGCUUAGAUCAGUACUGACACACAAAUACUCAUAAAAACAUUCAUGUGUUGAGACUGGAUUUGGUUUCAGCAGAGCAAAAUCAUCUGUUGUAUUAAAUUAAGAUUGUAAAUUUGGAUAUUUUGUCAUAUUUUUAUUUGAUUUCUGUUUUUUUAUUUUGUAUUUACACAAAAGCUAUAAGCAUAUGGGAUUUUAUAAUUAGUCUGAUGUUAACAUAUUUGAGUAAAAUUAUGCCACGAGUGAACUUAAUCUGUGCUAGGAAAUCUUUUAAAAUGAUCUAUAUGUUAUUCACGUAUGAGAAACACUGGCAUAUCCUAGUCAUAGGAUAUGUACUGAAUAAAUAUUAUUGAACUUA